CACGUAGGGGACGAGCGUUGUCCGGAUUCAUUGGGCGUAAAGAGCUCGUAGGCGGCUUGUCACGUCGGGUGUGAAAGCCCGGGGCUUAACCCCGGGUCUGCAUUCGAUACGGGCUAGCUAGAGUGUGGUAGGGGAGAUCGGAAUUCCUGGUGUAGCGGUGAAAUGCGCAGAUAUCAGGAGGAACACCGGUGGCGAAGGCGGAUCUCUGGGCCAUUACUGACGCUGAGGAGCGAAAGCGUGGGGAGCGAACAGG
rnacentral:rRNA from 1 species